rnacentral:rRNA from 1 species
GACGAACGCUGGCGGCGUGCCUAAUACAUGCAAGUCGAACGAAGCUUUUUUAACUGGUGCUUGCACCGACUUAAACAACUGAGUGGCGAACGGGUGAGUAACACGUGGGUAACCUGCCCCAAAGCGGGGGAUAACAUUUGGAAACAGAUGCUAAUACCGCAUAACCACAGAAACCACAUGGUUUCUGUGUCAAAGAUGGUUUCGGCUAUCACUUUGGGAUGGACCCGCGGCGUCUUAGCUAGUUGGUAAGGUAAUGGCUUACCAAGGCAAUGAUACGUAGCCGAACUGAGAGGUUGAUCGGCCACAUUGGGACUGAGACACGGCCCAAACUCCUACGGGAGGCAGCAGUAGGGAAUCUUCCACAAUGGACGAAAGUCUGAUGGAGCAACGCCGCGUGAGUGAAGAAGGUUUUCGGAUCGUAAAACUCUGUUGUCAGAGAAGAACGUGUGCGAGUGUAACUGUUCGUGCAGUGACGGUAUCUGGCCAGAAAGCCACGGCUAACUACGUGCCAGCAGCCGCGGUAA